UCAGCAAGCUUCCGGAAGACGCCCACCCUCAUCAGCCCUCAACAGCAUCAAACCGGUCAAUCUCGCCGGAAGGGCUAUAGAUUAAUCGCUACCCUACUUGCAGGUACGCUAUCCCUGAGGGUCUCGUGGCAGGAGGCAUUCUAGGUCGCUAUCAAAACCUAACUAAUCUUUUGCUGUAUUCUCUGAAGGUACGCAUUAUUGAGGAGCUUGUGGCAAGAAGUGUCCGAGGUAUUGCCAAUAUUACCUAUUCUAACCUAUCGCUGUAUUCUCCAAAGGUACGCUAUCCCUGAGGGUCUCGUGGCAGGAGGCAUUCUAGGUCGCUAUCAAAACCUAACUAAUCUUUUGCUGUAU